AUAAUAAUAAGUAUAAAUAAAAUAAACAAUAAUGAGAGGAGUACGCUAUGUCAACAUUAUUUUGCCAGCUAAAGGUAACAAACAAGCAAUGUUUCAUCAGUAUAUGAUUUCACAUUAAAAUAAACUGAAGUUGCCCUUUUAAGAAGGGAAUAUGGGCUGGUUGUGGUUUUCUUCACAACUUUCCCACAACUCUAUAAAGAGUAUCUGUAAAACUGACAGUGUCAAAUUAGCUGAGCUGGAACACAUAACUUGUAUUAAAGGAACACAAUAGUAACCCACACCACUUCAUCUCACUGAAGUGUUCUGGGUGCCGUGUCUCUGUCCUCUUAACCCUGCAAUGUAAAACAUUGCAGUUUUGGAGAAGCUGCAAAGUUUAUAUUGCAGGGUUAAGACUGCCUCUUUUGGCUGCCAUAUGACAUGGAGCCCUAUAGGAAAGCACUGACUCAAUGCUUUCCUAAGGGGAAUUUUGAAAGCACACAUGCUGCACAUGCGCAUUAGUUCAUGAAUGAGCAUGAGUGCUUCUCUAUGACUUAGCCUCAGGAGUAGAGGUCAGCAGCGACUAGGUAGCCUCAGCGCUGGAAACAGGAAAGUAAAACAUUUAUUUAUUACAUUUGUAUGGCACUGGGACACACACACAUACACCUAGAAAGGAGUAGGGAGAGGGACACUAUAGAAUUAUAGAGGGACACACAUCGGAGUGGCUAAAUUAAGGGUAUAAUAGUCAAACUCUGACUAUAGCCGAAUUUCAUUACAGUACAGAUAUUUUAGCCCUAGUUUUAACAUUCAAAUUUUAUUUUUCGAAAUACUCAGUUUAAUGAAUAACCCCAAGCUGAGUUUUCCAGUUCAGUUCCCUGGUGAAUUCCUGCUAAAUCAUUUUAUUGCAUAAUUCUGCUACAUUCUAUUCACUAUACAGGGAAUCGAUCAUCAACAAGGAAAUCUGUCAAAUUAAGCCUAAAAUCUGGAAAUCUUAAUAAACUCUACAGUUUGCUAUUGCUUUGUAUAUUGUGUUGCAACCAUUGUUCCAACGAAGACUAGAAACUAGAAAUCAGUAAUUGAAGGCUUUAUUCUAGAAACUGUUAAUUGUUAAAAUCUUCUAAAGUAUUUUAGGCCCUAAUCUCAGCGAAGGGAAAACAACUGAUUUGAAAAAAUUGUGUUGAGGGAUGUUGUUGAUCAAUUUCUUGAUUCUGCGACUUUUCCAUAUAAUUACACAGACCCAUAGUGGAUAUGAAUGGAUCAGAGAAUGUAAAAUCUUCCACUCUCAGAUACCCCUAAUACUCAUCUUAAAGAAGACCUAUCGUGCUGAGGCUUGCAGUUUUUGCUUGUCCUGGCCAGGCAAUGCCCAUUGGAUAGUGUCACCUAAUAAGAGAAAGGAAGGAAAGAUCCACUCACCUCCGUUUCUUGCCCCCGCACUAUUUCUUAUUUUUCACUCUAAUAUUUUUCUUACUAUAAAACACUUAAAAAUGUCAGGUCCUGUUCAGACUGCUGGGAAUACAUGCUGAGUUUAUGAAAACCCUGACAUCAUAUUAUUAUAUAUUACGGAAUUUUAUGCACACUCUAGAUUUACAAUUUAUUGUUGUAUGGCAAGUUCAUCUUUGAAGGUGCUACAUGAAGAAGACAGAAGAAGGACAAAAUGACAUAACAGGGACAGAAUGAAAACAUAACUGUGCAAAUAUAGGAAAUGGAAACCAAAAAAAGAAUCAGGAUUAAAAUAACAGAGGGCUUCUUAUAGUUCAUAUUGCAUUUUGUCUAUAUCAUUUGUCUAUAUUUUAUUUAUAAUUGUGCAGCCUAAUGUAUUAAUGAAACUUUCAAUAAGUUUGAAAAUUGUUACAGUCUCCCCCAGAAAUAUUAGCUGUGCCCUGAGUCCUACAAUGACAGCAUUUACACAAUUUGUAUAAUUUUACAAAGGCAGCUGAAAACUGGCACCAAUGAGAACAAAAAUGGAAGACAUAAAUUGGAACAUGAACCAACCCGUUCCAUAGUGGACGGUCCAUAUAGAAUUGCAGCUUAUAACAUUUCACCUAGUCCUUGCGUAAAGCAUCAUAACACAGGGGUAAGUUACAAUCCAGCAUUGGUAAGUGAGUGAUAACAUUUUCUGACUUUCAGACACUAUAUAUUUUUUCAAAUGAUCGCAAUCCAAAAAGGUCCCAGAUUUUUUCUGCUGGUAACUUUGACAAAGUUAGAAAUUGUUAAAGACUUAAAGCCAGACAUAAAGGAAUACUAUAGCAUUAGCAAUACAAGUCUGUACUCCUAACACAAUAGUGCCCCUGUCCCUAAUUAGACAAAGCUCUCCACUUUUUCAAAAAAACAAAAACAUUUUUUUUACUUUUUUUCCAUCACUGAGGUUCUCUCGGCCUUGCUCGUCUCCCUUCCACCCAAUACAUCAUGGAGGAGACAUGGCAAUCCAAUUCUCCUAUGGAGGAGCACUGGGGGCGUGAUGCGCAUGCGUGGCGAACUCUGCGCACAUAUCCAAGGUUCUCCAUAGGAAAGAUUUGUAUUCAAUGCUUUUC